rnacentral:misc_RNA from 1 species
GAAAUGCGAUAAGUAGUGUGAAUUGCAGAAUUCAGUGAAUCAUCGAAUCUUUGAACGCACAUUGCGCCCCUUGGUAUUCCAUGGGGCAUGCCUGUUCGAGCGUCAUUUGUACCCUCCAGCUCUGCUUGGUGUUGGGUGUUUGUCCCGUCUCCGCGCGUGGACUCGCCCCAAAGUGAUUGGCAGCCGGCGUACUGGUCCCGGAGCGCAGCACAUGUCGCGCAAACGAGUGCCUUGGUACGGCGGCGUCCAUAAGCCCCUCUCUCACGCUCUUGACCUCGGAUCAGGUAGAGAUACCCGCUGAACUUAAGC